rnacentral:rRNA from 1 species
UACGGGGGGGGCAAGCGUUGUUCGGAAUUACUGGGCGUAAAGGGCUCGUAGGCGGCCAACUAAGUCAGACGUGAAAUCCCUCGGCUUAACCGGGGAACUGCGUCUGAUACUGGAUGGCUUGAAUCCGGGAGAGGGAUGCGGAAUUCCAGGUGUAGCGGUGAAAUGCGUAGAUAUCUGGAGGAACACCGGUGGCGAAGGCGGCAUCCUGGACCGGCAUUGACGCUGAUGCGCAAAAGCCAGGGGAGCGAACGGG